UCUUUAGUAGCUCAGUUGGUAGAGCAAAUGGCUGUUAACCAUUUGGACGUUGGUUCGAGUCCAACCUAGAGAG
rnacentral:tRNA from 1 species